AUACGUAGGGGGCGAGCGUUGUCCGGAAUGACUGGGCGUAAAGGGCGUGUAGGCGGCAGUGUAAGUCUGGAGUGAAAGUCCCGCAUUCAAUGUGGGAAUUGCUUUGGAUACUGCAGUGCUAGAGUGCGGAAGAGGUAAGUGGAAUUCCCAGUGUAGCGGUGAAAUGCGUAGAGAUUGGGAGGAACACCAGUGGCGAAGGCGACUUACUGGGCCGUAACUGACGCUGAGGCGCGAAAGUGUGGGGAGCAAACAGGAUUAGAUACCCUGGUAGUCCACACUGUAAACGAUGAAUGCUAGGUGUAGGGGGUAUCGACCCCUUCUGUGCCGCAGUCAACACAAUAAGCAUUCCGCCUGGGGAGUACGGCCGCAAGGUUGAAACUCAAAUGAAUUGACGGGG
rnacentral:rRNA from 1 species